AGAUUGAACGCUGGCGGCAUGCCUUACACAUGCAAGUCGAACGGCAGCACGGGAGCAAUCCUGGUGGCGAGUGGCGAACGGGUGAGUAAUAUAUCGGAACGUGCCCAGUAAUGGGGGAUAGCCCGGCGAAAGCCGGAUUAAUACCGCAUACGACCUACGGGUGAAAGCGGGGGAUCGCAAGACCUCGCGUUAUUGGAGCGGCCGAUAUCAGAUUAGCUUAGUUGGUAGGGGUAAAAGCCUACCAAGGCGACGAUCUGUAGCUGGUCUGAGAGGACGACCAGCCACACUGGGACUGAGACACGGCCCAGACUCCUACGGGAGGCAGCAGUGGGAAUUUUGGACAAUGGGACGAAAGCCUGAUCCAGCCAUGCGCGUGUGGGAAGAAGGCCUUCGGGCUAGUAACCUACUUUUAGUACGAGGUAACGAAACCGGUCCCUAACGUAA
rnacentral:rRNA from 1 species